UCAACCUAUCUUUUCGCCCGGGAUAACUAGCCGAAAGGUUAGCUAAUACCUGAUACGAUCAUCGAGUGGCAUCACUUGAUGAUGAAAGCAGCAAUGCGCGGAUUGAGGGGGCUGCGGCCCAUUAGCUAGUUGGUGAGGUAACGGCCCACCAAGGCAACGAUGGGUAGCUGGUCUGAGAGGACGACCAGCCACACUGGGACUGAGACACGGCCCAGACUCCUACGGGAGGCAGCAGUGAGGAAUUUUCCGCAAUGGGGGAAACCCUGACGGAGCGACGCCGCGUGCGGGAGGAAGGCCUUCGGGUCGUAAACCGCUGUCGAGGGGGACGAUUAUGACGGUACCCCUGGAGGAAGCCCCGGCUAACUACGUGCCAGCAGCCGCGGUAAGACGUAGGGGGCAAGCGUUGUUCGGAAUUAUUGGGCGUAAAGCGUGCGUAGGUGGAUUCGUAAGUCGGGGUUGAAAUAUCCGGGCUCAACUCGGGGACCGGCCUCGAUACUGCGGAUCUCGAGUCAGGAAGAGGGUAGUAGAAUUCCCGGUGUAGCGGUGAAAUGCGUAGAUAUCGGGAGGAAUACCAGUGGCGAAGGCGGCUACCUGGUCUUGCACUGACGCUGAGGCACGAAAGCUGGGGAAGCAAACGGGAUUAGAUACCCCGGUAGUCCCAGCUGUAAACGAUGAAUGCUAGGUGUAAGGGGUAUCGACCCCCUUUGUGCCGCAGUUAACACAAUAAGCAUUCCGCCUGGGGACUACGGCCGCAAGGUUAAAACUCAAAGGAAUUGACGGAAUCGAAUU
rnacentral:rRNA from 1 species